UACGUAGGGCGCAAGCGUUAUCCGGAAUUAUUGGGCGUAAAGAGCUCGUAGGCGGUUUGUCGCGUCUGCCGUGAAAGUCCGGGGCUCAACCCCGGACUUGCAGUGGGUACGGGCAGACUAGAGUGUGGUAGGGGAGACUGGAAUUCCUGGUGUAGCGGUGAAAUGCGCAGAUAUCAGGAGGAACACCGAUGGCGAAGGCAGGUCUCUGGGCCACUACUGACGCUGAGAAGCGAAAGCAUGGGGAGCGAACAGG
rnacentral:rRNA from 1 species